rnacentral:rRNA from 1 species
GUGGAUUAGUGGCGCACGGGUGAGUAACGCAUAGAUGACAUGCCCUUUAGUUUGGGAUAGCCACUAGAAAUGGUGAUUAAUACCAAAUACCACCCUACGGGGGAAAGAUUUAUCGCUAAAGGAUUGGUCUAUGUCCUAUCAGCUUGUUGGUGAGGUAAAGGCUCACCAAGGCGAUGACGGGUAUCCGGCCUGAGAGGGUGAACGGACACACUGGAACUGAGACACGGUCCAGACUCCUACGGGAGGCAGCAGUAGGGAAUAUUGCUCAAUGGGCGCAAGCCUGAAGCAGCAACGCCGCGUGGAGGAUGAAGGUUUUAGGAUUGUAAACUCCUUUUGUGAGAGAAGAUA